rnacentral:rRNA from 1 species
UACUAGAGUAGCACUCGCAUAUCAAUAAGCGGAGGAAAAGAAACUAACAAGGAUUCCCCUAGUAACGGCGAGUGAAGCGGGAAGAGCUCAAAUUUGAAAUCUUAAAGGGUUUCCCUUUACGAAUUGUAGCUUAAAGAAGUGUUUUCUGUUGAGGUUUUGGUAAAAGUUCUUUGGAAUAGGACAUCAUAGAGGGUGAGAAUCCCGUAUUUGACCUUUACUUUCAACUUUGUGAUACACUUUCAAAGAGUCGGACUGUUUGGGAAUGCAGUCCAAAAUGGGUGGUAAAUUUCAUCUAAAGCUAAAUAUUGGCGAGAGACCGAUAGCGAACAAGUACCGUGAGGGAAAGAUGAAAAGAACUUUGAAAAGAGAGUUAAACAGUACGUGAAAUUGUCAGAAGGGAAGCGUUUGACACCAGUGUUGUUUUUCUGAAAAUCAAUUAAAGAACUGUUUAUGCUAAGUUGUUUAGACUUUAUCAGCUAACUGUUUAGUUUUGAGCUUUUCUUUAAUGCACUUUUCAGUUAACAAGUCAACAUCAAUUUCUUUUGCUGUAAAAAAGCUUGAGGAAGGUGGCUUGAGAUUCGUCUUAAGUGUUUAUAGCCUCUUGCCUAUGCAGUCGGAGAGAUUGAGGUCUGCAGCGUAGAUCCUUCGGGGCUAAAUGCAUUUGUGCUAAGUUAUAACAUUUUAUAGACAACUUGUUGACUAUGAUUUGUCUUGUAGCUUACUCGCUUAUGUUAUUUUACCUACGCUUAGGAUGUUGAUAUCGCGCUCUCACUG